rnacentral:rRNA from 1 species
UGGGGAAUUUUGGACAAUGGGGGAAACCCUGAUCCAGCCAUCCCGCGUGUGCGAUGAAGGCCUUCGGGUUGUAAAGCACUUUUGGCAGGAAAGAAACGUCAUGGGUUAAUACCCCGUGAAACUGACGGUACCUGCAGAAUAAGCACCGGCUAACUACGUGCCAGCAGCCGCGGUAAUACGUAGGGUGCAAGCGUUAAUCGGAAUUACUGGGCGUAAAGCGUGCGCAGGCGGUUCGGAAAGAAAGAUGUGAAAUCCCAGAGCUCAACUUUGGAACUGCAUUUUAAACUACCGGGCUAGAGUGUGUCAGAGGGAGGUGGAAUUCCGCGUGUGGCAGUGAAAUGCGUAGAUAUGCGGAGGAACACCGAUGGCGAAGGCAGCCUCCUGGGAUAACACUGACGCUCAUGCACGAAAGCGUGGGGAGCAAACAGG